rnacentral:tRNA from 1 species
GGGGGUGUAGCUCAGCUGGUUAGAGCGUCUCACUGUCACUGAGAAGGUCGAGGGUUCGAGUCCCUUCACUCCCGCCU